rnacentral:tmRNA from 1 species
GGGGGCGACUUGGAUUCGACCGGAUGAUUGGAAGCGUAUGGUUGCGUGUCGUGGUUGAUCAGUUGGCCACGUAAAAAGCUGAUCACACUAUAAUUGCAGAUGAAAAUCUCGCAUUGGCUGCCUAAGAACAGGCUGCCCUGACUGAGGGAGAUUGCCAGAGUCGCCCGACUGUCAGAAGCAAUUCUGGAUCGCCCGCCGUCCUACUCGAGACGCGGCGGGUUAAAUUUAGAUUCGAGUUAGCGAGUGACGGAGCCUGUCGGGCAGCGCCGUCAUGAGCGAAUCGGACUUCGGUCCAAAAUAGUUCGACUACACACGUAGAUGCCGACGCGGACGCAUCGCGGGACGAGGGUUCGAUACCCUCCGCCUCCAUCU